GACGAACGCUGGCGGCGUGCUUAACCCAUGCAAGUCGAACGGAAAGGCCCUGCUUUUGUGGGGUGCUCGAGUGGCGACCGGGUGAGUAACACGUGAGUAACCUGCCCUUGACUUUGGGUUAACUUCAGGAAACUGGGGCUAUUACCGGAUAGGAGCUCCUGCUGCAUGGUGGGGGUUGGAAAGUUUCGGCGGUUGGGGAUGGACUCGCGGCUUAUCAGCUUGUUGGUGGGGUAGUGGCUUACCAAGGCUUUGACGGGUAGCCGGCCUGAGAGGGUGACCGGCCACAUUGGGACUGAGAUACGGCCCAGACUCCUACGGGAGGCAGCAGUGGGGAAUAUUGCACAAUGGGCGGAAGCCUGAUGCAGCAACGCCGCGUGCGGGAUGACGGCCUUCGGGUUGUAAACCGCUUUCGCCUGUGACGAAGCGUGAGUGACGGUAAUGGGUAAAGAAGCACCGGCUAACUACGUG
rnacentral:rRNA from 1 species